rnacentral:rRNA from 1 species
UAAAACUUUCAGCGACGGAUGUCUUGGCUCCCACAACGAUGAAGAACGCAGCGAAAUGCGAUACGUCUGGCGACUUGCANAAUCCAGUGAAUCAUCAAAACUUUGAACGCAUCUUGCGC